CCGUGACCAAAGCAACUCCAACAACAUUUCAUUGGAGCUGGCUUACAAGGUUCAGAGGUUCAGUCCAUUAUCCUCAUGGUGGGAAGCCUGGCACCAUCCAAGCAGGCCUGGCACUGGAGGAGCUGAGAAUUUUACAUCUUGUUUCCUUUAGUUUUUUUUUUUUUUCGGGGCUGGGGACCGAACCCAGGACCUUGCGCUUCCUAGGUAAGCGCUCUACCACUGAGCCAAAUCCCCAACCCCUACAUCUUGUUUCAAAAGGCAAACAGGAGAAGACUGGCUCAGGGGCAGCUAGGAGGAGGGUUUCCAAGCCCACACCCACAGUGACACACUCCAAUAAAGACAUACUUUCUAAUAGUGUGGGCCAAGUACUCAAACACAUGAGUCUAAGGGGUCAAACCUAUUCAAACAACUACAUUCUGCUAUGCCGGCAUGGAUGCCUGAGUUCAGAUCUUAGGGAUCACGUGAAAGCAGGCAUACCGGCACAUACUUGGCAUGGGGAGGCAGAGUCAGGAUGAUCCUGCUUGAAUCAGUGAUCUUUAGGUUCAGUGAGGGAACCUGUCUCAAAAACUGUGACGGAGAAUAAUGGAAGAACAUACCUGACAUCCACUUCUGGUCUCUGCGGGCACAUGCAUGCACAUACACAUGCAUGUGCACACGCACACAUACACAAGGACACACACACACAUGCACGCAGCAUGCACACAUAUGCGCACACACAUGCACAUGCCACACCAUUGCGUGGCAUGUAUUUUACAGACUGGGCUGUUUACCCAAGCUGCUGAUUUUGUACUUUAGUCUCCAUUGCUCUCAAGUAGGGUAGUCACUCUAUUUGUCUGGCCACACCCUGAUAGUGUUUUACAAUCUGAUUGUAUUUACUGAUAUUGCUUCUGGAUAUUGCUUCCCACGUAGAGCAAACUAUCCUUUUUGCUUCUCAGUGUCUUCUACCUGCACCAGAUGAACAAAAGCCAAGCCCUUUGGAUUCUAAAAGAGGGUGUGAAUGGGUUAAAUGUGAUUAAAGGCAGAUGAAUGCUGGCUAUGAA
rnacentral:lncRNA from 1 species